AACGAACGCUGGCGGCAUGCCUAACACAUGCAAGUCGAACGAGACCUUCGGGUCUAGUGGCGCACGGGUGCGUAACGCGUGGGAACCUGCCCUUAGGUUCGGAAUAACUCCCCGAAAGGGGUGCUAAUACCGGAUAAUGUCUUCGGACCAAGGAUUUAUCGCCUUUGGAUGGGCCCGCGUUGGAUUAGCUAGUUGGUAGGGUAAAAGCCUACCAAGGCGACGAUCCAUAGCUGGUCUGUGAGGAUGCUCAGCCACACUGGGACUGGGACACGGCCCAGACUCCUACGGGAGGCAGCAGUGGUGACUAUUGGACAAUGGGCGAAAGCCUGAUCCAGCACUGCCGCGUGAGUGAUGAAGGCCUUAGGGUUGUAAAGCUCUUUUACCCGGGAUGAUAAUGACGGUACCGGUAGAAUAGGCUCCGGCUAACUCCUU
rnacentral:rRNA from 1 species